rnacentral:rRNA from 1 species
CACGUAGGGUGCAAGCGUUGUCCGGAAUUAUUGGGCGUAAAGAGCUCGUAGGCGGUGUGUCGCGUCGGCCGUGAAAACCUGCAGCUUAACUGUGGGCUUGCGGUCGAUACGGGCAUCACUGGAGUUCGGCAGGGGAGACUGGAAUUCCUGGUGUAGCGGUGAAAUGCGUAGAGAUCAUGAGGAAGACCAGUGGCGAAGGCGGGUCUCUGGGACAGUUCCUGACACUGAGACACGAAGGCCAGGGGAGCAAACGGG